AGGGUUCGAUUCUGGCUCAGGAUGAACGCUGGCGGCGUGCUUAACACAUGCAAGUCGAACGGGAUCCAUCAGGCUUUGCUUGGUGGUGAGAGUGGCGAACGGGUGAGUAAUGCGUGACCGACCUGCCCCAUACACCGGAAUAGCUCCUGGAAACGGGUGGUAAUGCCGGAUGCUCCGACUCCUCGCAUGGGGUGUCGGGAAAGAUUUCAUCGGUAUGGGAUGGGGUCGCGUCCUAUCAGGUAGUCGGCGGGGUAACGGCCCACCGAGCCUACGACGGGUAGCCGGCCUGAGAGGGCGACCGGCCACAUUGGGACUGAGAUACGGCCCAGACUCCUACGGGAGGCAGCAGUGGGGAAUAUUGCACAAUGGGCGCAAGCCUGAUGCAGCGACGCCGCGUGCGGGAUGACGGCCUUCGGGUUGUAAACCGCUUUUGAUCGGGAGCAAGCCUUCGGGUGAGUGUACCUUUCGAAUAAGCACCGGCUAACUACGUGCCAGCAGCCGCGGUAAUACGUAGGGUGCAAGCGUUAUCCGGAAUUAUUGGGCGUAAAGGGCUCGUAGGCGGUUCGUCGCGUCCGGUGUGAAAGUCCAUCGCUUAACGGUGGAUCUGCGCCGGGUACGGGCGGGCUGGAGUGCGGUAGGGGAGACUGGAAUUCCCGGUGUAACGGUGGAAUGUGUAGAUAUCGGGAAGAACACCAAUGGCGAAGGCAGGUCUCUGGGCCGUUACUGACGCUGAGGAGCGAAAGCGUGGGGAGCGAACAGGAUUAGAUACCCUGGUAGUCCACGCCGUAAACGGUGGAUGCUGGAUGUGGGGCCCGUUCCACGGGUUCCGUGUCGGAGCUAACGCGUUAAGCAUCCCGCCUGGGGAGUACGGCCGCAAGGCUAAAACUCAAAG
rnacentral:rRNA from 1 species